GAUGAACGCUGGCGGCGUGCCUAAUACAUGCAAGCCGAGCGAAUAGAUAAGGAGCUUGCUCCUUUGACGUUAGCGGCGGACGGGUGAGUAACACGUGGGUAACCUACCUAUAAGACUGGAAUAACUCCGGGAAACCGGGGCUAAUGCCGGAUAACAUUUAGAGCCGCAUGGUUCUAAAGUGAAAGAUGGUUUUGCUAUCACUUAUAGAUGGACCCGCGCCGUAUUAGCUAGUUGGUAAGGUAAUGGCUUACCAAGGCAACGAUACGUAGCCGACCUGAGAGGGUGAUCGGCCACACUGGAACUGAGACACGGUCCAGACUCCUACGGGAGGCAGCAGUAGGGAAUCUUCCGCAAUGGGCGAAAGCCUGACGGAGCAACGCCGCGUGAGUGAUGAAGGGUUUCGGCUCGUAAAACUCUGUUAUUAGGGAAGAACAAACGUGUAAGUAACUGUGCACGUCUUGACGGUACCUAAUCAGAAAGCCACGGCUAACUACGUGCCAGCAGCCGCAGUAA
rnacentral:rRNA from 1 species